ACUCCUACGGGAGGCAGCAGUGGGGAAUAUUGCACAAUGGGCGCAAGCCUGAUGCAGCAACGCCGCGUGAGGGAUGACGGCCUUCGGGUUGUAAACCUCUUUUAGCAGGGAAGAAGUCGAAAGUGACGGAUACCUGCAGAAAAAGCGCCGGCUAACUACGUGCCAGCAGCCGCGGUAAUACGUAGGGCGCAAGCGUUAUCC
rnacentral:rRNA from 1 species